AGCGCGUGGCCGAAUGGUUACGCUGUCUGCUUUGUAAGCGGAUGACUCUGGGUUCGAUUCCCAUCUGCUC
rnacentral:tRNA from 1 species